AUGUUGCACACAUCCCGAGACAGUGCAGCAGCGGACAUGAUUUCGAUGGGUGGAGUCGCCGAGUGCUCUAGGUUACUCCCGACCGUGGUCUCAGGAAAAGAGAAGAAGAAAAAUCGCACCUCGGGCUGGCUCGGUCGGAAAAACGUCGAGAAAAAAGGAGAGAAGAAAAAAGAAUUGCGGCUCGGGCACGCAGGAUUUGUCCCCCCUCGCGUCGCAUCUCCCCCAACCCUCUCGCUCCGCCGCCGACCGCCCGCACGCCGCUCCUCCGCCGCGCGCGCUCUCCUCCUGCGUCGCCUCCCACGCCGUCCCGUCGGAUGCCGCGCGCGCUCCCCUCCGCCGCGCGUGCCCGACCCCUCCUCCUCCGCCGCCGCCGCGGCCUCGUUCUUCCAGGCCCGGUAG
rnacentral:rRNA from 1 species